GGGAAAAAAAGUUGAAAUAGGGCUAGAGUACAGUCACUAUAUAUCAAUUAUAUUCACAGAUUAAGUGCAAACUGACCAAUAGUUCUAUAUAUUUAAUACAUAUAUGUGUAGAAGAAUCUUACAGGGAGGCUCCAAGGCUAGCCUCUUACCCAUAGACUAUGGACUAAACUCUAUGGGUAGGAGGCUACGUUUCAAGCCUAUCAACUUGAACAAACAUCCAGACGUGUAUUUGAGUGAUACAUCCACAAGGAAACAGUAAAAACCACCAACCAGCUUAACUCUGUGGAGUACAAGCCAAUGUGGAUAACAAAGGAAAACCCAAAUCAGUGUGGACGACUGUGAGUGCAGCUUUCCCCACCAAGCCUUAGAACACAUGGUAAAUAUCCUGGAAUUUUACCAAGGCUUUACGGAUAGAACUGCCUUGCCGCAAGGCAGCAAACUUGACUAGUAAUGUUGUGAGUACCCACAAACAUUGUGGAGCAUGCCGCUCUGAGCCCUAGUAAUCAAGACACUUGUCCUGUCUAAUAUAAAUAGUUAAUGGUAUACUCUAUCCAGUGGUGCCCUUAGAUUGAGGGAGCUCCUCUCUACAAAAAGCUUCUGUUUUUUGGUUUCUCCCUAGUAUACACAAUUCAGACCACACAUACUGGCACCAGGGUUGUGUAUGUGCCUAGCACUCUAGAUCUCAUGGUGUCACUGCAGUCUCACAAAAGGUUCUCACACUAUUUUACAUGUUUUGUGAUGCCUCUAUGUAACACC